GGUAACUCUUCCACGGAGGUGUGAAUGUCUUUGGUAAUACUCGUUUGUAGACCGCUCACCUUCGGGUUACGAUGACUAAAUGGUUCUAUUCGACCCGUCUUGAAACACGGGACCAAGGA
rnacentral:misc_RNA from 1 species